rnacentral:misc_RNA from 1 species
AACGCACAUUGCGCUCUCUGGUAUUCCGGAGAGCAUGCUUGUUUGAGUAUCAGUAAACACCUCAACUCUUUUUUUCUCUCUGGAGGGGAAAGAGUUGGACUUGAGCUAUCCCAACAGAACUCGUUUCUGGCGGGCGGCUUGAAAUGCAGGUGCAGCUGGACUUUCUUCUGAGCUAUAAGCAUAUUUAUUUAAUCCCUUAAAACGGGUUAUUACUUUUUGCUGCAGCUAAUAUAAAGGUUGAUUGUUCUCUAUGCUGACUGAUGCAGGAAUUUGGCAAAAUAUCGUCUAGGCGAUUUUUUGUUAAACUCGAUCUCAAAUCAAGUAAGACUACCCGCUGAACUUAA